rnacentral:rRNA from 1 species
AUGGAGAGUUUGAUCCUGGCUCAGGAUGAACGCUGGCGGCGUGCCUAAUACAUGCAAGUCGAGCGAACGUUAGCGGCGGACGGGUGAGUAACACGUGGAUAACCUACCUAUAAGACUGGGAUAACUUCGGGAAACCGUAGCUAAUACCGGAUAAUAUAGUGAAAGACACUUAUAGAUGGAUCCGCGCUGCAUUAGCUAGUUGGUAAGGUAACGGCUUACCAAGGCAACGAUGCAUAGCCGACCUGAGAGGGUGAUCGGCCACACUGGAACUGAGACACGGUCCAGACUCCUACGGGAGGCAGCAGUAGGGAAUCUUCCGCAAUGGGCGAAAGCCUGACGGAGCAACGCCGCGUGAGUGAUGAAGGUCUAUCGUAAAACUCUGUUAUUAGGGAGAACAUAUGUCACAUCUUGACGUACCUAAUCAGAAAGCCACGGCUAACUACGUGCCAGCAGCCGCGGUAAUACGUAGGUGGCAAGCGUUAUCCGGAAUUAUUGGGCGUAAAGCGCGCGUAGGCGGUUUUUUAAGUCUGAUGUGAAAGCCCACGGCUCAACCGUGGAGGGUCAUUGGAAACUGGAAAACUUGAGUGCAGAAGAGGAAAGUGGAAUUCCAUGUGUAGCGGUGAAAUGCGCGAGAUAUGGAGGAACACCAGUGGCGAAGGCGACUUUCUGGUCUGUAACUGACGCUGAUGUGCGAAAGCGUGGGGAUCAAACAGGAUUAGAUACCCUGGUAGUCCACGCCGUAAACGAUGAGUGCUAAGUGUUAGGGGGUGCCCCUUAGUGCUGCAGCUAACGCAUUAAGCACUCCGCCUGGGGAGUACGACCGCAAGGUUGAAACUCAAAGGAAUUGACGGGGACCCGCACAAGCGGUGGAGCAUGUGGUUUAAUUCGAAGCAACGCGAAGAACCUUACCAAAUCUUGACAUCACAAAGUGACAGGUGGUGCAUGGUUGUCGUCAGCUCGUGUCGUGAGAUGUUGGGUUAAGUCCCGCAACGAGCGCAACCCUUAAGCUUAGUUGCCAUCAUUAAGUUGGGCACUCUAAGUUGACUGCCGGUGACAAACCGGAGGAAGGUGGGGAUGACGUCAAAUCAUCAUGCCCCUUAUGAUUUGGGCUACACACGUGCUACAAUGGACAAUACAAAGGGCAGCGAAACCGCGAGGUCAAGCAAUCCCAUAAAGUUGUUCUCAGUUCGGAUUGUAGUCUGCAACUCGACUACAUGAAGCUGGAAUCGCUAGUAAUCGUAGAUCAGCAUGCUACGGUGAAUACGUUCCCGGGUCUUGUACACACCGCCCGUCACACCACGAGGUUUGUAACACCCGAAGCCGGUGGAGUAACCUUUUAGGAGCUAGCCGUCGAAGGUGGGACAAAUGGGGGUGAAGUCGUAACAAGGUAGCCGUAUCGGAAGGUGCGGCUGGAU